AUUCCAAUCUGUAAGCUUCGGUAGUUCACAUUUUGUCUUGUCAUCAAGAGUUUACAAACUAUUAGCAGAGUUUACAAAUUAUGCUGCUUUCCAGCUUCUGACAGAGCUCAUCAUGAUAAUGAAAUAAAGGGAGUCAAAGCAUCCAAGUUGGUUCUCUAGGCAGAAAGAAAAGGAGGGCUCCCUUUGGGUGUUUCUCAAGUGAAUUUCCGUAUCAGUGCAUUCCCAGUACGCCGAAGUAAAGCUUAAUGUGUAUGACAGGCAAGUUCUACUUGCUCUGAAGCAUAUCAUUCUGUAUCCUACCCUUCUGCAUCAUAUCCUUCUGCAUAGGGUUAAAUCCUGAGCAUCGUUAUUAGAUCACAGGAAAAGGAAGAAAAAAGAGAAGUCGCGCUUUCUCGCAUGAUUUAGCCUCUUCGGUGCACGCUGCCACGAAUAAGGCAGGGUUCUGAUUCAAUGCACCCAUUGUUAAGGAGAUGAGGUUUGAGGGAAGAAGAGUGGAGUUUGUCACAGAUGUUUCUGUAGAUGUUUGUCACAGAUGUUUUUCAGCCCUGAAAUGACUCAGGCUACUCAGCUCUGAAAGCCCGGACCCAAUUGUUCUUGGUGUCACUGAACAUCACUAUUACGUUUUUCCACCGAACCACUUUUCCUAACGGUGCUAGGUCUCACACCUCAUUUUAAGAGUGAAAGCAACACAGAGAAAUGAUUUUUCUAGCUGCUGGACUGCUGGGAAUGGCUAAGACCUACCACUGCAGUCAGAAUCAGAAGAUGAUCCCUUUCAUUAGUUUCUUCUCCUACAUGAAUGCUAUCUUUGGUGCAGUGCCACUUUGUAGGAGGCUGUCCUUUUAUGGGUAGAAUCUAGCAGACCACGCAGAGAUCUUGAAUUCUGCUUUCAGCUUUGCAGCCGUAGCUUUUGUACUUUUUAAGAUACUGUUUUAGUCCCAUGGGCUUUGUUCCCACUGUUUCUACUCCGGAGCUACUAUUUUAUGGAUGUUUAACAUGUGCUAUGCGCUUCACUCCUUAUUGCUGAAAGCAGGGUGCCCCCAGGAGCACAUCAGUAGCAUCACACAGUUAUCGUGGUAACGCCUAUGGCUAGAAGAGUGCUUUUGUGCAAAGAAGAAACUGUUAUAUGUGCACCUCAUAGGUAAGUGAGGAAGUAGCAGAAAGAAUAAAAAGCGGUGUGAGAAAUUUUAGGAGCCAGCAACUGCAGAGAAAAAGCUGCUGUCAUCAUUUCCAAGCAGCCCCUUCAAUAUAUUUAGAUAAGCAGCAUUUGUCAUCUAGAAGGUUGUUUACCUGCCUUGGUAAAUAUGAGUUGCCAUCAGGCUAAUGAUUCAGCAUCUGCUCAUCAAUGAUGCUGAUGAGAGCGGAGUGGAUUUGCCGUAGGCUGCUCUGUUACUUCAUUUAGCCAGUGGUUGGUUGAAUUGGUUUCAAAAAAUACAUAGGCUGUUAGCUGUGUUUGUUGUUUGUUUCUUUUUUUUCCUUCACGCGUUGGUGUUAAAGGACAGUGAAAUGGUUGUCGAGACUAGCUAAUUUAUUUGUACUUGCAGAGGUAUUGCUAUUGCUGCUGUGUCGUUCCUCUGAUCUCCUGCCUUUCCCAUGACGAUUUCCCGGUGUUUACAUUAUGGAUGUGAAAGCGGGCACCCAGCCACACUCUGUGACCAAGUCAGAGGUCCCAGACCAUGUUCUUUACACGAUAGGGACGUGCGUUCUUGUGAUCGGCUCCAUCGGCAUCAUAGGAAACCUCCUAGUUCUCUACGCUUUCUACAGCAACAAGAAGUUGAGGACACCCCAGAACUUCUUUAUAAUGAACUUGGCUGUGAGCGACUUCUUGAUGUCAGCUUCUCAGGCCCCCGUAUGCUUUAUCAACAGCUUGCACAGAGAGUGGAUCCUCGGAGAUAUAGGUUGUGACUUGUACGCUUUCUGUGGGGCGCUCUUUGGAAUAACCUCGAUGAUGACUCUGCUAGCUAUUUCUGUUGACCGCUACUUGGUGAUCACCAAGCCCCUGCGCUCCAUCCAGUGGACCUCCAAGAAGCGCACCGUGCAGAUCAUUGCCGCUGUGUGGCUGUACUCGCUGGGGUGGAGCGUGGCCCCACUCCUUGGGUGGAGUUCCUACGUGCCUGAGGGCUUGAUGAUAUCCUGUACAUGGGACUAUGUAACAUACUCCCCUGCAAACAGAAGUUACACCAUGAUUUUAUGCUGCUGCGUAUUUUUUAUUCCACUGAUAAUAAUAUUCCAUUGCUAUUUAUUUAUGUUCUUGGCCAUAAGAAGUACUGGCAGAGAUGUCCAAAAGCUUGGGUCCUGCAGCCGCAAAUCCUUCCUCUCUCAGUCCAUGAAGAAUGAAUGGAAACUGGCAAAAAUUGCAUUUGUGGUCAUCAUUGUGUAUGUCUUAUCCUGGUCUCCAUAUGCUUGCGUCACUUUGAUUGCCUGGGCAGGCCGAGGAAACACUCUGACGCCGUAUUCCAAAUCUGUGCCAGCCGUUAUUGCUAAAGCCUCUGCAAUCUACAACCCCAUCAUAUACGCAAUAAUUCACCCAAGAUACAGGAAAACCAUCCACAAUGCUGUUCCCUGCCUGAGGUUCCUAAUACGAGUAUCAAAGAAUGAUCUCCUGAGGGGGUCCAUAAAUGAAUCAUCAUUCAGGACCUCUCUCUCCAGCCACCAGUCUCUUGCCGGAAGGACCAAGAACGCUUGUGUUUCAUCAGUUUCCACUGGAGAAGCUAAUUGGAGCGACGUAGAGCUUGACCCGGUAGAGCCAGCUCACGCGAAACUGCAGCCUCGCCGAAGUCAUUCCUUCUCAGCAAGCCUGAGACAGGAGAAGACAGACCUGCUCCCAGAGACCUAUAGCUGCAGUGAAGAAACCGAAGGAAAGGGGGAAGACGAGAAAGAAACUCCCAUUUCUCCCUAAGGGUGGGAGAGUCUGGCAGAUGCCACCCUUCCCUCACUGAAAGAGGAGAUGGUUUCGCUGUCAUCCAGCUGCCUGGAGAAGGUUCUGGGGCCGUCAGCCUUCCUCAGCUCCCCCGUAGCACUCGUGACCAGCUCCCUCCGAGCAGCCUCUCUGCCUGU